GUAAUUUUUACUCUAACCCUAGACAACCCUAUAUAAGCAUCGUUAACACUAAUUCUCUCAUUUCUCCCCCUUCCUGUUUCAGGUGCCGUCCCCUCUCUCUCUCUCUCUUUUAAAGCUUUCAUCUUCUUCUUUAAUCUCUGUUUGUAUUUUCUUCUCAUUUUAAUCUUUUGCACUUUCGUCCUCAUUACUCAUAUCUUGCGUUUAUUUGAUUUAUUUUUUGUUCAUUUUUGUUUGUUUAGAUUUAGAUUGUUCUUUACGGUAUAAUAAUUUUUUUUUUAAGCUUUCAGAUGCGAACCGUUUAUUUCACAUAUUUUUUGUUGCUUUUUUAUACAUCUAGAUGAAGAUUAUUCUUUACGAUUUUUAAUUUUUUUUGUUUUUACUUUCAGAUCUGAACAAAUAUAUUUUUGUUUGAUUUUCUUUGUCAUUUUUUGUUUUUGUUUUUGUCUCUUCUCUUAUCUUGUUCUUGUUAUGUCUUAUUUUGUUGUUUGAUGUUUGGAUUUUUCGGAUCUAUACAACAACUUAUCCCUCAUGGCCUCUCUCUGUAUAUUUCGGCAUCUCGUGUGUAUUAAGGCACUGUGUUUGGGUCUCUUUUUUUUUUUUUUUUUUUUUUUUCCGAUUGAUAUUUUCGGAUUUUUUUGUUGGAUUUGUUCUUUGUUGAUUCUUUCUUGCAUCGUGGCUAAGAUCUGCUGCCUAUGACCGCACGUAGCAGCCCGCGACCAUGGCAGAAGACAAACUUUUUAUUUUUCCUGAUGGAUAUUUCUGGGUUUCUCGGUUGGAUCUAUUGUUUGUUGCAUCUCUCUCGCAUCACAGUUCACAUCCGCUGCAAAUGGCCACCCGUGGCAUCCCACGACCAUGCCGGAAGCACGUACGAAGAAAUCAGAAGAUGAAAUUUCAGAAGAUCGAAUUUGUUUGAUGGGUUUAAUUUUUUUGUUGGUUCUACUCUCUGUAAAAACAGAUGUAAAUAUGCAAAUAUAGUUUUUAUCUUUCAAUUUUUUUU